AUCUCUCUCUGAAGAUUGCUCUUUUUGGAGUCUUUUUUUGUAAGCCCAGGAUAUGGGAUCAGUUUCUGAGUGCUCUAUAAAUAUCAUGAAGAGAAUACAGCUGUUUCAGAUCCAACAGAGUAGGUGUGAGCAACCUGAGGCCAAUAUGGAGGGACAGAGGAAUUUCCCUCUACACAGACAACGGGCUGCUCUGAUGAGCAUGCUUUCAGGCAGAAAGCAAAUCUGACCCUAAAUGCAAUAUCCAAAUGCUGUUACUCGACAAGCCUGGAUUAUCAAAAAAUGAGAAGAAACCACUAAUGUGAGCACAAAGAGGAUAUGCCACUUCUCUGAAUCCAUGUGCUGGAUGCGCCUGUGAAAGACCACAACUACAGCAGAUAAAGGACAGACAGCAGACAAAAUGUUUUCAUGGUAGCAAAAUGAUUCUGGAGAGUCUCAGAUUGAAGUUUGAGAAUGAAUACAGUUGAGGACCAAAGCAGAAGAUAUAAUCACACAAAAAGGCUGUGGAACAGGGAAAGGAGCUGGAAAUUACGGCAGUUCUUCAUUUACAACAGAUCAAUGCAAUCAACAUCUUCAUAUUAAAUUACUGAGUUUGCAGGGAAAAAUUAGAAGACUACAUAUGCUUUAAUGCCCAGAAUUAAAUGAGAUACAUCAUCAUCUGUUUCUCUGGGGCCUGUGCUUUUAAUUUGCACAGUGGUUUCUAAAUCUGUCUAGCUAUUCGUGUUGGAGGGUGCACAUUGCUUACUAAGGGCCCACUCAAACUGAGAGAAUUCAAGUUUCCUGCUCCCAUGGACCUUUGCAAGCUUUCUAUUACCAUCCAAGAUGGUAUAUUCAUAAUUAUUUCUAAUUUUAAUACUAUAUAAGUUCUCUGUCAUGUGAAACUUCAGACAUGCAAGACACGAGCCCCAGCUCAAGAGAAUAUUUCAAAACACAGACUCAGUUAAUAAAAAAGUGACUCAAUGAGUAUACAAAAAGAAAAGAAAAUCAAGAACAGAGCUUCUUUCUAUCUAGUCAAUUUUCUGACUGAGAAACAGAAAAAAAAAAAAAACACUGAUGUAAAAAGAAAAAAAAAAGCUGAGAUCUCAAAUAUUUUAAACACACCCAAAAACUUGUAUUAUUUUUUACAGACGUGCUUUAUUUGUGUACUCAAAUCAGAAGUGAAUUUUGUGGGAAUUUAUGACAGAAUGUCCUCAACUGAUCAUUUUUUAUCUCAGAUUUCUGAUUUUACAUGAGAACACAAACAAUCUAGUACACAAAUAUGGAAAAGUGUGGUUCACGUAAGAUAAUUAUAGAAUUAUUAAUUAGGAAAUAUACUGCAAAGCAUUCUCCAACAAACAAAAGAAGUCAACAGUUGACCAACCUUUACAAUUUAGUGAGUCAAUGUGAGGGAAAGACCACCUUUUUAGUUCCCCUGCUCAGUGUCAAGAAGCCUAUUGCCCUUGCCAGGAUUAGAUCAAAACCAUAUUUGCAAAGGUGUUAAUGACAGCAGGGCCCAUCCUACCUCUGGACUACUGGCACAGGACCACACCAUAUUGGCUUCAGCUGCUCUCCCACCUCCGGCUGUGUGGUGCUGCU
ensembl:lncRNA